rnacentral:rRNA from 1 species
AUUGAACGCUGGCGGCAGGCCUAACACAUGCAAGUCGAGCGGAUGAAGGGAGCUUGCUCCUGGAUUCAGCGGCGGACGGGUGAGUAAUGCCUAGGAAUCUGCCUGGUAGUGGGGGAUAACGUCCGGAAACGGGCGCUAAUACCGCAUACGUCCUGAGGGAGAAAGUGGGGGAUCUUCGGACCUCACGCUAUCAGAUGAGCCUAGGUCGGAUUAGCUAGUUGGUGGGGUAAAGGCCUACCAAGGCGACGAUCCGUAACUGGUCUGAGAGGAUGAUCAGUCACACUGGGACUGAGACACGGUCCAGACUCCUACGGGAGGCAGCAGUGGGGAAUAUUGGACAAUGGGCGAAAGCCUGAUCCAGCCAUGCCGCGUGUGGGAAGAAGGUCUUCGGAUUGUAAAGCACUUUAAGUUGGGAGGAAGGGCAGUAAGUUAAUACCUUGCUGUUUUGACGUUACCAGCAGAAUAAGCACCGGCUAACUUCGUG